GUCCACGCCGUAACGAUGAUAACUAGCUGUCCGGGCACUUGGUGCUUGGGUGGCGCAGCUAACGCAUUAAGUUAUCCGCCUGGGAGUACGGCCGCAAGGUUAAACUCAAGAAUUGACGGGCCUGCACAAGCGGUGGAGCAUGUGGUUUAAUUCGAAGCAACGCGCAGAACCUUACCAACGUUUGACAUCCCCAGUAUGGAUAUUGGAGACAGUAUCCUUCAGUUCGGCUGGCUGGGUGACAGGUGCUGCAUGGCUGUCGU
rnacentral:rRNA from 1 species